CAAAGCACGUUAAGGUGUGAUGUCGUACUUUUUGUAGAACGGUCCAGCGAGUUAUUGUAUAUGGCAAGGUUAAGCACUAUGUAAGGUGUGAAGCCGAAGCGAAAGCGAGUCUGAAAAGGGCGAAUUAAGUCAUAUGUAAUAGACCCGAAACCGGGUGACCUAACCAUGGUCAGGAUGAAGCUUGAGUAAAAUCAAGUGGAGGUCCGAACUGAUAAGCGUUAAAAAGCUUCCGGAUGAACUGUGGUUAGCGGAGAAAUUCCAAUCGAACUCGGAGAUAGCUGGUUCUCCUCGAAAUAGCUUUAGGGCUAGCCUUGAUGUAAAGAUAUAUGGGGGUAGAGCACUGAAGGUGCUAGGGGCCUAAACCAGGUUACUGAACACUAUCAAACUCCGAAUACCAUAUAUUAGUAGUCAGGAGUCAGACUGCGGGAGCUAAGUUCCGUGGUCAAAAGGGAAAGAGCCCAGAUCGUCAAUUAAGGUCCCAAAGAUAUAGCUAAGUGGGAAACGAUGUGAAAUUGCGUAAACAACCAGGAUGUUGGCUUAGAAGCAGCCAUACAUUUAAAGAGUGCGUAAUAGCUCACUGGUCGAGUGAAUUUGCGCGGAAAAUUACCGGGGCUAAGCUAUACACCGAAAUUGCGGGUUAUGAUGUAUCUAAUAAUGUGUAUCAUAAUAAGAAGAUAAAUUUUCUGUUAAAAACAUGAAAUGUUUUUAACCAAAAUGUUCAAAAGGAUAAGGUAUACAAGAAAAGGUGCAUAUUAUUAGAUACAUUGUAGCGGUAGAGGAGCAUUCUGUAGUAGGGUGAAGUAUGAUCGAAAGGACAUAUGGAUGAGGCAGAAGAGAGAAUGCUGGAAUAAGUAGCGAGAGCAAAGUGAGAAUCUUUGCCGUCGAAAGUCUAAGGUUUCCUGGGGAAGGUUCGUCCGCCCAGGGUAAGUCGGGACCUAAGGUGAGGCCAAGGAGGCGUAGCCGAUGGAUAGCAGGUAUAAAAUUCCUGCACUACCGAAAUACUUAAAAACGAUAAGGGACGCAGGAGAGGAAGGAAAUCCGGGAAGAGGAAAAACCGGAGCCGAAAGGCAUAGUGAAAAUUUAAAGUAACGAAGUUCCAAGAAUCACACUGACGAGAAAAGCUUAUUGACAUUGUAUUAAGGUACCCGUACCGCAAACCGACACAGGUAGAUGAGGAGAGGAUCCUAAGACGAGCGAGAGAAGUACUGUUAAGGAACUCGGCAAACUAACCCCGUAACUUAGGGAGAAGGGGUACCUAUGUAAAAGUAGGUCGCAGAGAAGAGUCCCAAGCAACUGUUUAACAAAAACACAGGUUUCUGCUAAAUCGAAAGAUGAAGUAUAGGAGCUGACGCCUGCCCAGUGCUGGAAGGUUAAGGGGAAAUGUUAGAGUAAUCGAAGCAUAGAACUAAAGCCCCAGUGAACGGCGGCCGUAACUAUAACGGUCCUAAGGUAGCGAAAUUCCUUGUCAGGUAAGUUCUGACCCGCACGAAAGGCGUAAUGAUUUGGGAGCUGUCUCGACAGUAUACUCGGCGAAAUUGUAGUACUAGUGAAGAUGCUAGUUACCUGCGACAAGACAGAAAGACCCCAUGGAGCUUUACUGUAGCUUGAUAUUGGGUUUCGGUAAUUUAUGUACAGGAUAGGUGGGAGACUAUGAAGCAAGAGCGUCAGCUUUUGUGGAGUCACCCUUGGGAUACCACCCUUAAAUUAUUGGAAUUCUAACCUGUGAUCAUGAACUGGUCAGGGGACAAUGUCAGGCGGGCAGUUUGACUGGGGCGGUCGCCUCCUAAAGAGUAACGGAGGCGCCCAAAGGUUUCCUCAACCCGGACAGAAAUCGGGUGAAAGAGUGCAAAGGCAGAAGGAAGCUUAACUGAAAGACAGACAUGUCGAGCAGAUACGAAAGUAGGGCUUAGUGAUCCGGUGGUAUGUGAGUGGAAAUGCCAUCGCUCAAC
rnacentral:rRNA from 1 species